UUGUUCUCAUUUUGGUAGCAAAUCUACUAAAACUGAAGCAAUAUGAGAUUAACAUGGUCCUUGUUCAAAGAUGACAUGCAAAUUCUGGAAGCAUUCCAUAUUUAU
rnacentral:snRNA from 1 species